CAGACUGUCGUCGAGAAGGGCGCCAACGGUCGCCACAGCGAACAAGUCGCCCAUUUGCUUUGCCCUUAACAAACUACCUUUACGCAGAACCACAAGAAAAUGGACCGUCUCCCCGAGGGGUGUGGUCUGGUGCGUGACACCAGGAGCUGGAUUGGUGUGUGGCGUCUGGACGUCAGUUGUGGCCUACAGCAGCUUUUUAACGCGAACGCUACCUGGCUCUCCGUUUGAGAAGCAUCGCUGUGUUCCCGGACCGGUAUCGGCUGCGCUGUUCGUGUGCAGCCGCCGGGAGCUCGGAACAUCUCGCCGCGGGGAUGAGGUGAACCGGGCCGGGCCUGGGGUUUGGAUAGGGAGCGGGCCAAGACGUCGCAGACGAUGUGCUUUUUAUCUCCUCGAGCCGCUUAAUUGUGCACGCAAGAGAUGGAUGAGUUGGCGGCGCGCGAGCGAGACAAAAGAUGCCGAUGACUUCCGCUUACUUACAAAAUAAAAGCUAGGCGAGGGUGACAAGCACGUCCGUUCACUUCCAAAAUAAAAUCAUUCAGUCUGUGGCCUGAUCAUA